rnacentral:rRNA from 1 species
UGGGGAAUCUUGCACAAUGGGGGAAACCCUGAUGCAGCGACGCCGCGUGAGCGAUGAAGCCCUUCGGGGUGUAAAGCUCUUUCGGCAGGGAAGAUAAUGACGGUACCUGCAGAAGCAGCUGCGGCUAACUACGUGCCAGCAGCCGCGGUAAUACGUAGGCAGCAAGCGUUGUUCGGAGUUACUGGGCGUAAAGGGUGUGUAGGCGGUUCCUUAAGUUUGUUGUGAAAUCUCCCGGCUCAACCGGGAGGGUGCGGCGAAUACUGAGGAGCUAGAGUGCGGGAGAGGAAAGUGGAAUUCCUGGUGUAGCGGUGAAAUGCGUAGAUAUCAGGAGGAACACCGGUGGUGUAAACGGCUUUCUGGACCGUAACUGACGCUGAGACACGAAAGCGUGGGUAGCAAACAGG